rnacentral:tRNA from 1 species
GGGAUAUGGCUCAGUUGGUAGAGUGAGUGCCUAGCAUGCACAAGGCUCUGGGUUCAAACCUCAGCCCG